UACCUGUCCAAAUAGGACUCUCAGUACCCACCUCCUAAAGUUUUUGUGAAUAUUAAAAGAGAUAUGCUAUGUAAAGUGCUUGACAUAGUUCCUAGGAUGUUGUAAAUCCUCGACAUAUUACAGACUAACGUUGUCUUUUUUUCUGUUAUAGGUAGCUAUGUGACAUGAAAAAUGCAGCAAGUUAUCGAAAGGGCAAAAGGGGAUUUUAAGAAGCAGCAGAGAAGCAUCUAGAAUACCGGUUCUGGUGUGAGAGCUGGAUUCCACUUCCGCCCGUGUGGCUUGACCUCAUCAAGCUUCAGCUUCUUCAUCUGUUAAACGGAAGCCACAGUCCUCAUCAUCAAUGAGAACUUCCAAAAUGCCAGGUACCGUGCCAGGGGCAUCGCACAGAUUAGCUCAUUUAUUCUAGCACAGUAACCCUCUGGCUGAAAUUCUGUUUUGAUCUCUUUGUUGUAGCUGAGGAUGGGCACAGAGGUGUAGGCAGUUGGACCGAAGUCACACGACUUGUGCGACAGUAACUUCAUCAUAGGUACGUGGGCAGUACCUUCACCAAAAAGUGUGCUAGGUGCUUCGUAAGGUCCCUGACACGUACUUGGUGCUCAGUUAAAGCCACCCACUGCUGUUUUUGUUGUUUUUAAUUAUUUACUAGGAUUAUUAUACCUUGUUAGUUUGAAUGACAUAAUGACAAUGA
ensembl:lncRNA